GACGAACGUUGGCGGCGUGCUUAAUACAUGCAAGUCAACUGAAGCAGUGGUAGCAAUCUCGCUGUGGAGGUGGCGCACGGGUGAGUAACACGUAGGUAAUCUGCCUUCAGGUCUGGCAUAACUCCGGGAAACCGGGGCUAAUAGCAGAUGAUGCAGCGGCUCGACAUCGAGACAGUUGUUAAAGCUAUGGCGCCUGAAGAUGAGCCUGCGUCUGAUUAGCUAGUUGGCGGGGUAACGGCCCACCAAGGCAACGAUCAGUAGCUGGUCUGAGAGGAUGAUCAGCCACACUGGAACUGAGACACGGUCCAGACUCCUACGGGAGGCAGCAGUAAGGAAUAUUGCUCAAUGGGAGAAAUCCUGAAGCAGCAACGCCGCGUGAGGGACGAAGGGCUUUUGCUUGUAAACCUCUGUAGUGAGAGAAAAAAAUCCCAAUCUUUGGGACAUGAUGGUAGCUCAAAAGUAAGCCCCGGCUAACUACGUG
rnacentral:rRNA from 1 species